GCGGAUGUCGUAUAGUGGCUAUUACAUAUCCUUGCCAAGGAUAAAACGGCAGUUCGAUUCUGCUCAUCCGCU
rnacentral:tRNA from 1 species